GCUAAAAAUCUAGCCCACAUUAAUUAUAUUCACCCCCUUACUUUAACCCUCCUCCCUAAAACAUUUUCACAAUUUAGUAAAGGCGAUAAAAAAAUUUUUUGGAGCUACACUGACAGUACCGCAAGGGAAAGAUGAAAUAGAAAUGAAAUAAACAAUUAAGCACAAAAAAGUAAAGACUUAACCUUGUACCUUUCGCAUUAUGACUUAACUAGUCUUAAUCGAGCAAAAUGAAUUUAAGUUCGACUUCCCGAAACUAGAUGAGCUACUCCGAGGCAACCUUAAGAGCCAACCCGUCUCUGUCGCAAAAGAGUGGGAAGACCUUCGAGUAGAGGUGACAGACCAACCGAGUCUAGAGAUAGCUGGUUACCCAAUAAAAGAAUUUUAGUUCAACCUAAAGCUAAACUAUGAGUACAAACACUUCUCGCUUUAAAGUUAUUCAAACAAGGUACAGCUUGUUUGAAACAGGGCACAACCUAGGCUAACGGGUUAUUCUUCCAGCAAUGCACCAAAGUAGGCCUAAAAGCAGCCAUCUUUAAAAUAGCGUCAAAGCUUACCUGCCUCUGCAUUUAAUCUCUAAAAAUUUUUUUAACCCUUUCUCUAUACUGGGUGAUUCUAUAACCUUAUAAAACACAUUAUGUUAAGACUAGUAACAAGAAGUAAGCCCUUCUCUUUAAUGCAAGUGUAAAACAGAAAGGAUAAACCACUGUUAAUUAACACGCAUGACCUCAAUUAGUAACACCACUAGAAAACCCUAAUACCCUAAGUGUUAACCUAACACAAGAGCAUUACAAGAAAGAUUUAAAAUAAAGGAAGGAACUCAGCAAAUAUCAACCCCGCCUGUUUACCAAAAACAUCGCCUCUUGAAUUUUAUAAGAGGUCCAGCCUGCCCAGUGACCUAAUUCAACGGCCGCGGUAUCCUAACCGUGCGAAGGUAGCGUAAUCACUUGCUCUUUAAUUGAGGACUAGUAUGAAUGGCACCACGAGAGUUGUACUGUCUCCCUUUUUUAAUCAGUGAAACUAAUCUCCCCGUGAAGAAGCGGGGAUAUGUAUAUAAGACGAGAAGACCCUAUGGAGCUUUAAACUUAUCAACACCUGCUACCUUAUUUAAACCUAAAUUUAGUAAAGCACGAUGUUGAUGUGUUUUCGAUUGGGGUGAUCACGGAGUAAAAAAUAACCUCCACGAUAAACGGGCCCAAGCCCUGAGCAACAAGACACAACUUUAAGCACUAUAAAAUUAAUAUCUCUUGACCCAAUAAUUUGAUCAACGAACCAAGUUACCCUAGGGAUAACAGCGCAAUCCACUUCAAGAGCCCCUAUCGACAAGUGGGUUUACGACCUCGAUGUUGGAUCAGGGUAUCCUAGUGGUGCAGCCGCUACUAAUGGUUCGUUUGUUCAACGAUUAAAACCCU
rnacentral:rRNA from 1 species